AGCCUCUGCACACCAGAAGGAUGAUGAAUUUAUUGAAUUGAUAAAUAAUAUUGACAGAAUACGGCAUGCAAAUGUUGUUGAGCUUGUUGGAUAUUGUUCAGAGCAUGAUCAAAAGGCUUCUAAUCUAUGAGUACUACAGUAAUCAUUGUAUGAUGCACUCCACUCAGAUGAUGACUUCAAAACAAGACUCUCAUGGAAUUCUCGUAUUCGAAUCUCACUUGGGGCAGCUAGAGCCUUAGAUGUGGUUGUUCUUCUGGAAUCAUGAGGUAUGAUAGAAGAUGGUCUUGAAGUAGCUACUGACCCUGACUACAGAUUUGAUCUAGCAAUACACCUUGGAAAAGUAGAUGUUGCAAAGAGUAUUGCAAUAGAAUUGCGGAGCGAGCAGCAAUUGGGAGAAUUAACUAUGUCUACUGGAAAGGUGUUUUCUAUGUGAUUUGAAUCUUCAGCUGUAUUUAUGUAUAUGUUCUUUGUGUAAAGCUUGAUUGCACUCCUAAAUAUCCAUAGUCAAGUGUAUUAUACAUUUCGGUGAUGGUGUGCUAUUGAAUUUGACCGUGUGCACAUGAUGUAUAUAGAUCUUAUUGAAGCUUUUGAUAUGCAAGAGAUUAUACAGGUUUUACU